CCCCUAGAUGUUCUGGGCCGCACGCGCGCUACACUGAACAGUUCAACAAGUCUUAACCUUGGCCGAUGGGUCUGGGUAAUCUUUGAACGCUGUUCGUGAUUGGGAUAGACCUUUGCAAUUAUGGGUCUUCAACGAGGAAUUCCUAGUAAACGCAAGUCAUCAGCUUGCAUUGAUUACGUCCCUGCCCUUUGUACACACCGCCCGUCGCACCUACCGAUUGAAUGGUCCGGUGAAAUCUCGGGACGGCGGCUUGGUCGCUUGCGUCCGACUGCUGAAACUUGAUUAAACCAUAUCAUUUAGAGGAAGGUGAANUCGUANCA
rnacentral:rRNA from 1 species